AUAUAAAUAGUCAACUUAUGUUAUAUACUUGUUUGCAACAAUUUAUAGCUGAAAGGUACAGAUUAUAAUGUAAUUGUUUUUUGAUGUUUAAUUAUCUUUUUCUGUCAGUACGUAAUAAAUGAUUUUUUAAUAUUUUUUAUAAAUAAGUUAUUCAUAUAUAAUGUAAUUGUGCUAUUUUCAAAAAAUUGUAAAAUAUGAAUAGAUAAAGUGGCAUGACUAAUUUGAUAUUUGGAGUUGGUAUAGGAUUGUUUCUUAUCUUAAUUCUUUGGGCUUUGGCUCUAUUCGUAUUUAUUAUUUCUUUAAAAAUUGAAAAAAAUAUUGGCACUCUUGCUAUACUUAUAGUUAGUAUAUGCACAAUCAUUUUACUUACAUUGCCAAGGGCAUCAGAGAAAUCUAAUACCAAUGACAAAAAGAUACAUAAUUUGUUACAGAUAUAUGAUCAUUUAUUCAUCUGGCGUAUCUUAUUACUAAUAUUAUUAGUAAUAUCAUCUAUUAUUAGUUUAGUGGGAUAUAUAAAAUUUGAGAUAACAAAAUCUAUCAAACCAAUUCGAAUAACUAAUUGGAUUUUUUAAAAAUCUGUAGUACCCAAUGCUGCCAUCCAGAUCUACCACCCUGUUGUCUCAUUCUUUCAUCUGGCCAAAUUACGUCUAUGCGGCGACCCAAAUUAAUAGCAUCAUACACUUGGUUAGGAUCUAUGAUCUAAUAACAGAUAAAUAUACAUAAUUUUUGAUGAACUAAAGAAAGAGAUGUGUCAUCAUCAACAAAAUAAAUUUUGUUUUCUACUUA